rnacentral:rRNA from 1 species
AUGCCAAACGCGAUCCCGGCCUUCUUCCGCGCCUCGCCGGCCGCGGCGUCGGGCUCCGGCGCCGGGGCGGGGCCCAGCCUCGCCACCUCCGUCUACGAGACCCGCCUCGGCCUUGCGGCGCUCUCCUGGUCGCGCGCCGCGUUCGGCCUCAGCCUCCGGGCCGUGCUCCGCGUCGGGGCGCUCGCCUCUUCAUCCUCGGCCUCCGACUACGGCUGCUACGACGACGGCCCGGAGUUCGACGAGGAGGCCACCAUCGCCGUGCGCGUCCGGCCCUGGCUCUUCUGGCGGCGCCGGGGGUCCAAGCGUUUCCACGUGCACGACCGCCGGAUCGACCUGGCCUGGGACCUCACCCGCGCGCGGUUCGCCUCCCCCGGCUCGCCCGAGCCGUCGUCCGGGUAUUUCGUCGCCGUCGUGGUCGACGGCGAGAUGGCGGUCGUGGCCGGGGACAUGACGGAGGAGGCGUACCGGAAGACGAAGGCCCAGCGGCCGACGGGCCCCGGUCAUGUCCUCAUCUCCCGGCGCGAGCACGUCUCCAUGCGCGACGGAGGGCAUGGCCGCGGGCACAAGACCUGCGUCAAAGUCCGCGGCAAGGAGCGGGAGAUCUCGCUGGAUCUCGUCUCGCGCGGGCACGGCAAGGAUAGGGAAAUGGACAAGGAGAAGGACAAGGCCGAGGUCGGCCUGUCGGUCUCCGUGGACGGCGAGCGCGUCCUCCACAUCCGCCGCCUGCGCUGGAAGUUCCGCGGGAGCGAGAAGGUUGACCUCGGCGGCGGCGACCGGGUCCAGGUCUCCUGGGACCUCCACAACUGGCUCUUCUCCGCGCGCGAGCCGGCCCUCACAGACGCCGCCUCCGUCCUCGCCGCGGCGUCCCCGCCCGCGCACGCCGUGUUCGUCUUCCGAUUUGAGCUCGGCGACACCGCCGGCGGCGAAGAGCGCGACUCCGCAGAGGCCAAGGAGAAGGAGCUGCUCGACAAGGCAAGAAGAGGCGGCGCCGGCGUCUUGUCAGGCUACCUAGGGAGAUGGGGCAGAGGGGACUGGAGCGAGACCAGCAGCAAUGGGGAGAACCGGAGGAAGAGGGGGCAGGCGCGGAGGCUGGCCAAGGCAAGCUCAUCGUCGUCGGCAUCCAUUGCGUCCUCCUCGGCCUCGUGGGCGAGCAGCUCGACGGUCAUGGACUGGGCCAGCCCCGAGGAGGCCGAGCUGCACCGCGGCGAUGGCUUCUCGCUCCUCGUCUACGCCUGGAAGAGCUAG